GGACUACCGGGGUAUCUAAUCCUGUUCGCUCCCCACGCUUUCGUCCCUCAGCGUCAAUAUACUGAUAGUAACCUGCCUUCGCAAUUGGUAUUCCAUGUAAUAUCUAAGCAUUUCACCGCUACACUACAUAUUCUAGUUACUUCCCAGUAAUUCAAGUCUAACAGUAUCAAUGGCAGUUCCAUCGUUAAGCGAUGGGCUUUCACCACUGACUUAUUAGACCGCCUACGGACCCUUUAAACCCAAUGAUUCCGGAUAACGCUUGGAUCCUCCGUAUUACCGCGGCUGCUGGCAC
rnacentral:rRNA from 2 species